ACUCCUACGGGAGGCAGCAGUGGGGAAUAUUGGACAAUGGGCGAAAGCCUGAUCCAGCCAUGCCGCGUGUGUGAAGAAGGUCUUCGGAUUGUAAAGCACUUUAAGUUGGGAGGAAGGGCAGUUACCUAAUACGUAAUUGUUUUGACGUUACCGACAGAAUAAGCACCGGCUAACUCUGUGCCAGCAGCCGCGGUAAUACAGAGGGUGCAAGCGUUAAUCGGAAUUACUGGGCGUAAAGCGCGCGUAGGUGGUUUGUUAAGUUGCAUGUGAAAUCCCCGGGCUCAACCUGGGAACUGCAUUCAAAACUGACUGACUAGAGUAUGGUAGAGGGUGGUGGAAUUUCCUGUGUAGCGGUGAAAUGCGUAGAUAUAGGAAGGAACACCAGUGGCGAAGGCGACCACCUGGACUAAUACUGACACUGAGGUGCGAAAGCGUGGGGAGCAAACAGGAUUUAGAUACCCCUGGUAGACUGUCA
rnacentral:rRNA from 1 species